CAGCAGCCGCGGGAAUACGAAGGGUGCAAGCGUUACUCGGAAUUACUGGGCGUAAAGCGUGCGUAGGUGGUGGUUUAAGUCCGCUGUGAAAGCCCUGGGCUCAACCUGGGAAUUGCAGUGGAUACUGGGUCACUAGAGUGUGGUAGAGGAUAGUGGAAUUUCCGGUGUAGCAGUGAAAUGCGUAGAGAUCGGAAGGAACAUCUGUGGCGAAGGCGACUAUCUGGGCCAACACUGACACUGAGGCACGAAAGCGUGGGGAGCAAACAGGAUUAGAUACCCGUGUAGUCCCUGUCUCUUAUAC
rnacentral:rRNA from 1 species